GCUUUGCCAUAAUGUUUUUAUGUGCCCUUCCCCUUUAAGACGGGCUGUUCUCAUAUGCUAAGGGUUUUGUGUGCACUGCCCCUUUAAGAAGCACAUUAGCAUGCUCCGCUCAGAGCACGAGGAGCACAGCAGAGUCGAAGUCCCGACAGAGGAGCAGAAAACAGUUGAAGCCACGCCAGACAAGUUGCUGUGUUUUGGUUAUGUUUUAAGUUUAAGAAGGCAUUCCCUUUUCACACCUGCCAUAUAUAAACGGAAGAAAACCCAUCUUGGCGUCUGUCAUUCCUUGUGUGGAGGUGUUUAACUGACUGGAUAGUGGGAAAGGCUUCCAUGAGUCCAGAACAGUGAAAAGG